rnacentral:misc_RNA from 1 species
GGAAGGAUCAUUAACACGUAUCCACGUAUCAACCAACUGUGAACUUGUUCUCAACCUCUCCCUGCCUAACUGCAUGAAUUGACAUCUAGACAAUGAGACUAAUGAAAUGGGAAUUGACGCUUCAUUGCGCGGUUCAAUCUCGUCUAGACAACCUGGUGUGUGCCUUGUGCACUCGCCUAACAAUUGUAGCAGUCUAAUGGUCAGGUCAACCUCUUUCUACUCGAGACUUCACCUUUCAUGCGAGUCUUGUUUAGGAAAAUUUAAUAACCUAUUUCACCCCCUUUUUGCUAGUUGACUUUUAUAUGUUGUUUGGCCUUCACGUACUUAAUUGUAUAGAACCACUCACACGUUUAUCUAUUUGAACGUUAAAAUUACAACUCUUAGCAAUGGAUAUCUUGGUUCUCGCAACGAUGAAGAACGCAGCGAAAUGCGAUACGUAAUGCGAAUUGCAGAAUUCAGUGAAUCAUCAAAUCUUUGAACGCAAAUUGCGCUCUUGGGUAGCCCUAGGAGCACGCCUCUCUCAGUAUCGGUUCAACAACCUCUCAGCAGCGUACGAAUUUAAUUAUUCGUGCGUGUUGGCUGGAUAAUGAGAGUCUAAUCUUCACAGAUUAGUCUCUUGAAAUACAUCGAGUGAGCAUCAUAUUCUUUAACGCGUGUUAACCGAUUCAAUUCGAGGCACAAGCUAGUCUACGACUGGUCGUUUGAGAGUGACGUGAAUACUGACCCUCUGUGGUCUCACAUUUACGUGUAACUUUCGAGCGGCUAUUAAGGUUGAAUUCUGGUGUUCUAGAAGCGAAUGUCUCAUGUUAAGCGGCUUCGGCUGCAAUCGACUUCGUGUGUAAGUGCAUAUUAUUUAAUUAAUGGUACUCUAUUACUGUCGUCUGAAUUUUGAUCUGAGAUGAAGCGAGACAACCCCCUGAAUUUAAGCAUAUUAAUAAGGGGAGGAAAAGAAACUAACAAGGAUUCCCCCAGUAACGGCGAGUGAAGCGGGAAGAGCUCAAUUUGAAAAUCGACUACCUAAGCGGGUCGUCGAGUUGUAGCCUAGAGACGUACUAUCAGCUGAAACCUGGGUAUAAGUUCUUUGGAAUGAGGCAUCAUAGAGGGUGAGAAUCCCGUAUAUGACCCAAAGCUUUCAGCGUACGAUGUAUGUUCAUCGAGUCGAGUUGUUUGGGAUUGCAGCUCUAAAUGGGUGGUAAGUUUCAUCUAAAGCUAAAUAAUGGCGAGAGACCGAUAGCGAACAAGUACCGUGAGGGAAAGAUGAAAAGAACUUUGAAAAGAGAGUUAAAAGUACUUGAAAUUGCUAAGAGGGAAGCGCUGGCAACCAGUGUUUUUCGUCGUUCAUCGCUGUCAGCCCCACUGGAUGGUGCGAGUAGUUGGAAACUCUACUUGCGCUAUCGAAAGGGAGGUUGGCGGUUUAGGACGGCGGAUGAGUCAAGAUUCAUUCGAACUGUGGAAGAAGGUAGCGAGAAAGGUAGGUGACUCUCGGGUCACUGUUAUAGUCUUGUUACUCUACCUCGGCUUGGAUGGAGGAAGUAAUAGUGCGCUGCUUGCGGCUUAGUCCUGUGCUCCUGCAAUCCUAGUUGCUCUGAUAGCAAUGCUAUCCUUGUGACGAAGCUGGUUGUACUGGGUACGGUGACUCUAUGUGCUAUCACGAUCUUGUACGAAAUGGUUGUCAUCGACCCGUCUUGAAACACGGACCAAGGAGUCUAACAUCUAUGCGAGUAUUUGAGUGACAAACUCUGAUGCGCAAUGAAAGUAAAGGCAGCUUCGGCUGCUGAGGUAGGAAUCCGGUCAAACGGAGGCACUAUCGACCGAUCAUCACUUGUGAAAGAUUUGAGUAAGAGCAUAUCUGUUGGGACCCGAAAGAUGGUGAUCUAUGCCUGAACAGGGUGAAGCCAGGGGAAACUCUGGUGGAGGCUCGUAGCGAUACUGACGUGCAAAUCGUUCGUCUGAUUUGGGUAUAGGGGCGAAAGACUAAUCGAACCAUCUAGUAGCUGGUUCCCUC